CAGCCGCCGCGGUAAUACGUAGGUCCCGAGCGUUGUCCGGAUUUAUUGGGCGUAAAGCGAGCGCAGGCGGUUAGAUAAGUCUGAAGUUAAUGGCUGUGGCUUAACCAUAGUACGCUUUGGAAACUGUUUAACUUGAGUGCAAGAGGGGAGAGUGGAAUUCCAUGUGUAGCGGUGAAAUGCGUAGAUAUAUGGAGGAACACCGGUGGCGAAAGCGGCUCUCUGGCUUGUAACUGACGCUGAGGCUCGAAAGCGUGGGGAGCAAACAGGAUUAGAUACCCCCGUAGUCCCUGUCUCUUAUACA
rnacentral:rRNA from 1 species